rnacentral:piRNA from 1 species
UAUACAUUUUUUGCAAUUGCU